AACGAACGCUGGCGGCAUGCCUAACACAUGCAAGUCGAACGAGAUCUUCGGGUCUAGUGGCGCACGGGUGCGUAACGCGUGGGAAUCUGCCCUUUGGUUCGGAAUAACAGUUGGAAACGACUGCUAAUACCGGAUGAUGACGAAAGUCCAAAGAUUUAUCGCCAGAGGAUGAGCCCGCGUAGGAUUAGCUAGUUGGUGUGGUAAAGGGGCACCAAGGCGACGAUCCUUAGCUGGUCUGAGAGGAUGAUCAGCCACACUGGGACUGGGACACGGACCAGACUCCUACGGGAGGCAGCAGUGGGGAAUAUUGGACAAUGGGCGAAAGCCUGAUCCAGCAAUGCCGCGUGAGUGAUGAAGGCCUUAGGGUUGUAAAGCUCUUUUACCCGGGAUGAUAAUGACAGUACCGGGAGAAUAAGCUCCGGCUAACUCCGUGCCAGCCGCCGCAGUAA
rnacentral:rRNA from 1 species